UACGUAGGGGGCAAGCGUUGUCCGGAUUUAUUGGGCGUAAAGAGCGUGUAGGCGGCUACGCAGGUCCGCUGUGAAAACUCGAGGCUCAACCCCGAGCGGUCGUGAGAAACUGGCAGGCUAGGGUGCGGGAGAGGAGAGUGGAAUUCCUGGUGUAGCGGUGAAAUGCGCAGAUAUCAGGAAGAACACCCGUGGCGAAGGCGGCUCUCUGGAACGCAACUGACGCUGAGACGCGAAAGCGUGGGGAGCAAACAGG
rnacentral:rRNA from 1 species